rnacentral:misc_RNA from 1 species
GCGAUCCCCGCAAGGGGAAAGCUAGUGGCGAACGGCUGAGUAACACGUAGGUGACCUGCCCCGAAGUGGGGGAUAACGACUCGAAAGAGUCGCUAAUACCGCAUGUGACCACUCAUUCAUUUGAGUGCUCAAAGUCGCAAGACGCUUUGGGAGGGGCCUGCGGCGGAUUAGCUAGUUGGUGGUGUAACGGCCUACCAAGGAGAAGAUCCGUAGCUGGUCUGAGAGGAUGGCCAGCCAGACUUUCUCUCCGACACGGGGAUGACUCCUACNUUAGUUCGUAGUGGGGAUUUCUAGAAGA